UACGUAGGGGGCUAGCGUUGUCCGGAAUCAUUGGGCGUAAAGAGCGUGUAGGCGGCCCGGUAAGUCCGCUGUGAAAGUCGGGGGCUCAACCCUCGAAUGCCGGUGGAUACUGUCGGGCUAGAGUGCGGAAGAGGCGAGUGGAAUUCCUGGUGUAGCGGUGAAAUGCGCAGAUAUCAGGAGGAACACCUGCGGCGAAGGCGGGUAGCUGGGCCGACACUGACGCUGAGGCGCGAAAGCCAGGGGAGCGAACGGG
rnacentral:rRNA from 1 species